CUCUAAUAUUAUUCCAGAAUAUAUAUUUCAAGGAAUAUAUACAGUGAAGUAUUAGAUAUUAAAGAGGUUUAUUCCUUCCUACUAUAGGUAAAAAAGAAGCAAUAAGAUAUGUGUUAGUAAAUAUUAAAUAUUGAAAAUACGUAUAUUAU
rnacentral:ncRNA from 1 species